UACAGAGGGGGCAAGCGUUGUUCGGAAUUACUGGGCGUAGAGGGCGCGUAGGCGGCCUGCUAAGUCGAACGUGAAAUCCCUGGGCUCAACCCAGGAACUGCGUCCGAUACUGGUUGGCUUGAAUCCGGGAGAGGGAUGUGGAAUUCCAGGUGUAGCGGUGAAAUGCGUAGAUAUCUGGAGGAACACCGGUGGCGAAGGCGACAUCCUGGACCGGUAUUGACGCUGAGGCGCGAAAGCCAGGGGAGCAAACGGG
rnacentral:rRNA from 1 species